UCGGGGCUCGGGCUCGCGCGGCCGCUGGACACCCAGCCGUGGGGACGGGUGCGGGCUUCUCCCUCUCCGCUGCUCCGCCCCCGCCGUGCCUGCUCUGCCCGGCUCUCCCGCCGCACACGCGGCCGCCUGACGGAGGCAGGGGCUUUGGGGUGCAGAGCGUGUAGCUGGGAGGAGAGUGCGGCCUUCUCCUAACCCUCGGAUCCUCUUAUUAUAGCGGCUGAGCGAGGCAGGAGCAGAGCAGGCGGUCAGACAGCGCCGGGCCUCGAGUCCGUCGGGUGUGGCGGAGGUGCUCCUGAGGACUCGUCACGGUGGCCGGGCGCUCUCUGGCACGGCCAGCCACUCUCCCUGCUCAAGUCGCGGGUGCUUGUGUCCGGACUGGACCCGGCUGGCAGCUCGGGCUGAACCCGACGCUCGGAGGUUAAGGAGUCUCCUGUUCGCGCGGUCAGCCUCCCUGCCGACGGGGGUGAAGCACAGGUAAGAGGAGAGACCUCAAGCAAGCGACCCUCUGCAGCAGCCUGCGAAGGCCACUCUGCAACAGUCUUCGGCAACGGCUUCAGUCUCGCUAGGACACUGGGAAAGGCGAGGGCCAGGCCCAAAAAACGUCAGGUAUGAAAAGUCCUCUGCCCCAGUUAGCGUCCCCCUCAGUACUGUUCAGCUCACACUGGCUUCGCAGACAGUCGCGUAGAUCCCUCUGAAGCCCAGCGUUUAGCUAGUCCGUCCAUCGCCGGAGAGAAGGAGCCACACUGAGGACGGCCCCGCCACGCGCCGAGUGCUGUAGAGAACGCCCGAGACAGAGCCAGCGCGCAAAAGCCUCAGCCCAGCUCAGUCCUUCUUCAACCCCAGGGCACUCACACUAUGAAUAAACGGGCUACACAGUUGCUGAGAUGACUUCCUGUUCUUCAUUUUCCACGUGCCUUUAAGAAAAACUUGCAACUACUACAGAACUAUUCACUUAAGAAGUUUAAAUUCUGCUUGGCACAAUAUGCACACCUAUAUCCCUAGUUACUCGGGAGGCUGAACUGGGAGGAUUGCCGGAGCCCUGCAGUUUGAGGCCAGACUGGAAAACUGAGAGAACAAAAGAAAAACAGAAGUGUAUGUUCUGAUGUGACACCAGAGAGUAACGGAGAGUCUCUUGUAUUUCACUUAACUCACAAAUGAGUUUAAUUCAUAUUCUGGUACGGAAUAUGCCACACUCAUAUUAAAAUAUGAGUCAGUAAAGACAUUUUACACAAUACUAGAAUCUCAUGCCUUGUUAUUAGUAGUUCUAAUAAAGAGCUUGUGUUUUCAGACUUUUGUAAAAGUUCUUUUAAAUUGUUCCUCAUCUAUAUGGCAGCUUUACUGAGAAAGUGAGUUGAAACAAUGUCUGACACCAACAUCUUAUCCUCUCCCAUAUAUAUAUAUUUUUUUUAAUUUUUAAUUUUUUUUGGUAUUGGGAAUUGAACUCACAACCUUGAGCCUGCCAGGCAAGGUGCCGGUGAGUUAUAACCCCAGCCACCCCUUAUUUAUUAUAGAUAAAAAUUCUACCAGGAAAUGUGCUAGCUGAUGCUGUGACUACAUUCGUGACAUGUUCCCUUCCAGUCCCUUCCAAAAAUAAACACCCUCCACCCCAAACCUUAGGAUCAAAAGCCACCUGGCCAGUGCAAAGCCAUGGCCUUCACAGUGUGCUUCUGCCUCUAGGGCCGACACUUUUCCCUCCCAGUAGCUGCUGGAAGGAGCCCUAGCAAGAGGAGUCAGGGAACCUCACAAAUGUGACAGCUUGGACAAGAAGCCCGAAGUUUUCUUUUCCCACAGAUGUGAAACACUUGGGCACCUUAGGUGGCUCCCUUAGUCCGGGGGUGGCUUGUGGUGGGCCUGAGCUCUGUGGGAGGGCAACAGUGCUGGUCCGAGGGGACAUCUUGAGAUUCUGCGGUAUGUCUGCAGCUACACCCCUCCACCUGGGACACUGCAGAGGCUCUCCUGCCUCCAGUAGGUUUCCCACUAAGUAUCAGCACCUGGGAAAACGGGGUCAAUACACUAUACUAUC